rnacentral:rRNA from 1 species
GAUGAACGCUAGCGACAGGCUUAGCACAUGCAAGUCGAGGGGCAGCAUAAAAGUAGCAAUACUUUGGUGGCGACCGGCGCACGGGUGAGUAACGCGUAUGCAACCUACCUAUCAGAGGGGAAUAACCCGGCGAAAGUCGGACUAAUACCGCAUAAAACAGGGGCACCGCAUGGUGAUAUUUGUUAAAGAAAUUCGCUGAUAGAUGGGCAUGCGUUCCAUUAGGUAGCUGGUGAGGUAACGGCUCACCAAGCCGACGAUGGAUAGGGGAACUGAGAGGUUGGUCCCCCACACUGGUACUGAGACACGGACCAGACUCCUACGGGAGGCAGCAGUGAGGAAUAUUGGUCAAUGGGCGAGAGCCUGAACCAGCCAAGUCGCGUGAAGGGAGAAGGAUCUAUGGUUCGUAAACUUCUUUUGCAGGGGAAUAAAGUGCGGGACGUGUCCUGUUUUGUAUGUACCCUGAGAAUAAGGAUCGGCUAACUCCGUGCCAGCAGCCGCAGUAA